GGCGUGCUUAACACAUGCAAGUCGAACGAUGAAGGGAGCUUGCUCCUGGAUUAGUGGCGAACGGGUGAGUAACACGUGAGUAACCUGCCCUUAACUCUGGGAUAAGCCUGGGAAACUGGGUCUAAUACCGGAUAUGACUCCUCAUCGCAUGGUGGGGGGUGGAAAGCUUUUUGUGGUUUUGGAUGGACUCGCGGCCUAUCAGCUUGUUGGUGAGGUAAUGGCUUACCAAGGCGACGACGGGUAGCCGGCCUGAGAGGGUGACCGGCCACACUGGGACUGAGACACGGCCCAGACUCCUACGGGAGGCAGCAGUGGGGAAUAUUGCACAAUGGGCGCAAGCCUGAUGCAGCGACGCCGCGUGAGGGAUGACGGCCUUCGGGUUGUAAACCUCUUUCAGUAGGGAAGAAGCGAAAGUGACGGUACCUGCAGAAGAAGCGCCGGCUAACUACGUGCCAGCAGCCGCGGUAAUACGUAGGGCGCAAGCGUUAUCCGGAAUUAUUGGGCGUAAAGAGCUCGUAGGCGGUUUGUCGCGUCUGCCGUGAAAGUCCGGGGCUCAACUCCGGAUCUGCGGUGGGUACGGGCAGACUAGAGUGAUGUAGGGGAGACUGGAAUUCCUGGUGUAGCGGUGAAAUGCGCAGAUAUCAGGAGGAACACCGAUGGCGAAGGCAGGUCUCUGGGCAUUAACUGACGCUGAGGAGCGAAAGCAUGGGGAGCGAACAGGAUUAGAUACCCUGGUAGUCCAUGCCGUAAACGUUGGGCACUAGGUGUGGGGGACAUUCCACGUUUUCCGCGCCGUAGCUAACGCAUUAAGUGCCCCGCCUGGGGAGUACGGCCGCAAGGCUAAAACUCAAAGGAAUUGACGGGGGCCCGCACAAGCGGCGGAGCAUGCGGAUUAAUUCGAUGCAACGCGAAGAACCUUACCAAGGCUUGACAUGAACCGGAAACACCUGGAGACAGGGUGCCCCGCUUGCGUCGGUUUACAGGUGGUGCAUGGUUGUCGUCAGCUCGUGUCGUGAGAUGUUGGGUUAAGUCCCGCAACGAGCGCAACCCUCGUUCUAUGUUGCCAGCACGUGAUGGUGGGGACUCAUAG
rnacentral:rRNA from 1 species